UGGUGGCUGAUCAAAGCUGAUUGAUUUUAUUUUGUAUGAUAUGAAAGAGGAAGAGGGAAUUACGGAUUCAGCGUUGAAACCGGAGAGCAAAUGCUGGAAGAUUACAUUACGUAAUAGUACAAGUUUCACAUACACGAUUAAUUCAACUCUCUACCAAACUAUCUCUUUCCACGAAUUACUCGUUUUACAUGUAAUUUUUGUCCGUGAAUUACAUUUUCUGAAGUUUAUUUAAGUGUUGCUAUAGGCUCUAACCUCCAAAGGUGAAAGAAGAAAAUGAACAAAAGUUGGUAUCUAGAUUCAAAGCAGUAAGUUUUCGGGAAGUUGGAGGAAAUUGAUAUAGAUGUGAUAAUAACUACCACGGGGUUGCCAAGGCAUACUAAAAACUGCAUCCAAAGAUUAACAUAUAAAAAUGAAUUCUCAAUGUUAGUAUUUUUCAGUAAGUUUCGAUGUUAGCAUUUUUUUUAGCUUCUUUGAAACUUACUGAAAAAUACUUAGGACAACACAUCAUUGCUAUGGGUAGUGUAGUUUCAUCCAAAGUUGAGUUAUUUCUAUUUUUUCGAUCUUCGAAAUUUUUAUCUUCGCAAUCAAUUUAUUAUCUAAUUUAAUUUCUUUUUUUACGCCAUGAAUUGAGCACUCAUGUGCAAAUUGCAGGUUCUCCGGCAAUCAAAUUAGGCUUAAUUAAUUCUUGAACAACAUAAAAUCUUAAGGCUCUAGCCUCAUGAUGGAAAAAGAAGAUCAAAAUGACAACCAAGCAAAAUCUGGUACUCAGAGGAGUAAAAUUAAUGAAAAAUUGGAGGAAAUUGAAAUUGAAUCAAGAAAAACAACCGAGCGACACCAAAGUGAGAUGUAAACAACUUUGCCAGAAAACUACGUCUGAUAGUUGAAGCAUCAAAAUCACGUCGCGUGGGUGGUAUUGUAGAGGACAUAUUUUCAAAAAAAAAGAAGAAAAAAAAAAGUAGGCAUAUGCUCCAACGGGUCAUGGGUUUUUUUUUUAAUCUUUUUUUCCAAGUUAAAGAUGCAUUAAAAAAAUAACUAACUUGGGGAGUUGGCCACCUUUACAUCAAAAUGAA